AAUCCAUAGGUUAAUGAGGCGAACCGGGGGAACUGAAACAUCUAAGUACCCCGAGGAAAAGAAAUCAACCGAGAUUCCCCCAGUAGCGGCGAGCGAACGGGGAGGAGCCCAGAGCCUGAAUCAGCAUGUGUGUUAGUGGAAGCGUCUGGAAAGGCGCGCGAUACAGGGUGACAGCCCCGUACACAAAAGCGCAUGUGCUGUGAGCUCGAUGAGUAGGGCGGGACACGUGGUAUCCUGUCUGAAUAUGGGGGGACCAUCCUCCAAGGCUAAAUACUCCUGACUGACCGAUAGUGAACCAGUACCGUGAGGGAAAGGCGAAAAGAACCCCGGCGAGGGGAGUGAAAAAGAACCUGAAACCGUGUACGUACAAGCAGUGGGAGCACCCUUUUGGGUGUGACUGCGUACCUUUUGUAUAAUGGGUCAGCGACUUAUAUUCUGUAGCAAGGUUAACCGAAUAGGGGAGCCGGAGGGAAACCGAGUCUUAAUUGGGCGUUAAGUUGCAGGGUAUAGACCCGAAACCCGGUGAUCUAGCCAUGGGCAGGUUGAAGGUUGGGUAACACUAACUGGAGGACCGAACCGACUAAUGUUGAAAAAUUAGCGGAUGACCUGUGGCUGGGGGUGAAAGGCCAAUCAAACCGGGAGAUAGCUGGUUCUCCCCGAAAGCUAUUUAGGUAGCGCCUCGUGAAUUCAUCUCCGGGGGUAGAGCACUGUUUCGGCUAGGGGGCCAUCCCGGCUUACCAACCCGAUGCAAACUGCGAAUACCGGAGAAUGUUAUCACGGGAGACACACGGCGGGUGCUAACGUCCGUCGUGAAGAGGGAAACAACCCAGACCGCCAGCUAAGGUCCCAAAGUCAUGGUUAAGUGGGAAACGAUGUGGGAAGGCCCAGACAGCCAGGAUGUUGGCUUAGAAGCAGCCAUCAUUUAAAGAAAGCGUAAUAGCUCACUGGUCGAGUCGGCCUGCGCGGAAGAUGUAACGGGGCUAAACCAU
rnacentral:rRNA from 1 species